rnacentral:lncRNA from 1 species
ACAGACUCUGCACUGCAAGGUCACCAACGAUUGUGCAACUUCCAGAACUCGAAUACGAACAAAACAAAUUUUUUUGUCCUGACAGCUCUGUUCUAGUGCGUGCAUGACGUGUAAUUUGUUUCUUUUUCUACGACAAGAACGUCAUAUAUACCUAUUUCGGUUUAUUAACCUUCAAAUAAUAGUCAAAUAAACGUCAGAGUACAUCAAAAUCUAAACGUCACCGUGCUUACCAAUGGUGGUUACAUUAAAGGUUAGAAAACAAAAAUAUUAGUGACAUUAUUUUUAAAGAUAUUUUGCAGUCUUAUUUAAACAUGUCAAAUAAUGCAGGAUCUAUUUUUCUUGAUGUUGACUCCAGUAUCGUCGAACACAAUCUUAGAAUUAGGAGGGAUUCUGAGGAAGAUGAGCUCCAAAAGUUGAUGGAACAGAAGAGUUAUCCGUCUAAAUUAAUUAAGCCAUCAUCGG